rnacentral:rRNA from 1 species
GAUGAACGCUAGCGGGAGCUUAACACAUGCAAGUCGAGGGGUAAAUGGUAGCAAUACUAUGAGACCGGCGGACGGGUGCGUAACGCGUAUGCAAUAUACCUUGUGCAGGGGGAUAGCCCGUGGAAACGCGGAUUAAUAUUCCAUAGUCCAGCUAUAUCGCAUGGUAUAGUUGGUAAAGAUUUAUCGGCACAAGUUUGGCAUGCGUCUGAUUAGCUUGUUGGUAGGGUAACGGCCUACCAAGGCUACGAUCAGUAGGGGUUCUGAGAGGAUUAACCCCCACACUGGUACUGAGACACGGACCAGACUCCUACGGGAGGCAGCAGUGAGGAAUAUUGGUCAAUGGGCGGAAGCCUGAACCAGCCAUCCCGCGUGAAGGAAGACAGCCUUACGGGUUGUAAACUUCUUUUCUGUCAGAAGAAUAAGCUUGUCGAGACGAGUGAUGCCGGUAUGACAGGAAUAAGCAUCGGCUAACUCCGUG